rnacentral:rRNA from 1 species
AUGGGCGUGAGCCUGCUGAGGAAGCAGCACUCGUCGGCGGCGGGGGGCUCGAGCGGCGGCUCGUCGAUGCCGCCCAAGGGGUGCAUGGCGGUGCGCGUGGUGGGGCCGGGCGGCCGCGCGGAGGAGGAGGAGCGGUUCGUGGUGCCGGUGGGCUACCUCAAGCACCCGCUCUUCGUGGGCCUCCUCAAGGAGGCCGAGGAGGAGUACGGCUUCCAGCAGCAGGGCGCCAUCACCAUCCCCUGCGGCGUCGACAACUUCCGCCGCGUGCAGGCCGUCAUCGACGGCCAGCGGCACGGCGGCUCCGGCUCCGGCCGCCUCGUCUCCGGCGGCCACCACCACCACGGCUCCUCCUCGGGCCACCUCCACUUCCACCUCGCCGCCUGCUUCAGGGCCUGA